rnacentral:tRNA from 1 species
CAGGACAUGGCUUAAACAGAAAAGCACCUCUUUUACACUGAGGAGAUAUUCGUGCAAAUCGGAUUGCCCUGA